rnacentral:rRNA from 1 species
AGCUUAUUGAAUUUAUAGUAAGUAUUUUCUGCCCGGUGAUUUUUUUAACGGCCGCGGUAUUUUGACCGUGCAAAGGUAGCAUAAUCAUUUGUUUUUUAAUUGGGGACUGGAAUGAAUGGGUAUACGUAGUGAAUAUUGUCUCUUUAUUUUAAGUUGAAUUUUCUUUUUAGAUGAAGAAGUCUAGAUUUUUAGAUAAGACGAGAAGACCCUAUUGAUCUUUGUAUUUUUUUGUUAUAAUUUCAUAUUGUUUUUAUUUCUUUUAAUUUGGUUGGGGCAACUGAGGAGGUUUUUAUUUCUCUUUUAUUUUAUUUUGAUCCAGUAUUAGUGAUAGUAAGAAUUAGUUACCAUAGGGAUAACAGCGUAAUUUUCUUGGAGAGUCAUAUCGAUAAGAAUGAUUGCGACCUCGAUGUUGGAUUAAAGUUACCUGGGGUGUAGGUUUUUCUUAGGGAAGUCUGUUCGACUUUUAAAAUUUU